rnacentral:rRNA from 1 species
GACGAACGCUGGCGGCGUGCUUAACACAUGCAAGUCGAACGGAAAGGCCUCUUUCGGGGGGUACUCGAGUGGCGAACGGGUGAGUAACACGUGAGUAACCUGCCCUUGACUUUGGGAUAACUUCAGGAAACUGGGGCUAAUACCGGAUAGGAGCUCCUGCUGCAUGGUGGGGGUUGGAAAGUUUCGGCGGUUGGGGAUGGACUCGCGGCUUAUCAGCUUGUUGGUGGGGUAGUGGCUUACCAAGGCUUUGACGGGUAGCCGGCCUGAGAGGGUGACCGGCCACAUUGGGACUGAGGUACGGCCCAGACUCCUACGGGAGGCAGCAGGGGGGAAUAUUGCACAAUGGGUGGAAGCCUGAUGCAGCAACGCCGUGUGCGGGAUGACGGCCUUCGGGUUGUAAACCGCUUUCGCUCAUGACGAAGCUUUGUGUGACGGUAGUGGGUAAAGAAGCACCGGCUAACUACGUG